GACGAACGCUGGCGGCGUGCCUAAUACAUGCCAGUCGAACGCUGAAGGAGGAGCUUGCUUCUCUGGAUGAGUUGCGAACGGGUGAGUAACGCGUAGGUAACCUGCCUGGUAGCGGGGGAUAACUAUUGGAAACGAUAGCUAAUACCGCAUAAUAGCAGUUGUUGCAUGACAACUGUUUGAAAGGUGCAAUUGCACCACUACCAGAUGGACCUGCGUUGUAUUAGCUAGUUGGUGGGGUAACGGCUCACCAAGGCGACGAUACAUAGCCGACCUGAGAGGGGGAUCGGCCACACUGGGACUGAGACACGGCCCAGACUCCUACGGGAGGCAGCAGUAGGGAAUCUUCGGCAAUGGACGGAAGUCUGACCGAGCAACGCCGCGUGAGUGAAGAAGGGUGUCGGAUCGUAAAGCUCUGUUGUAAGAGAAGAACGAGUGUGAGAGUGGAAAGUUCACACUGUGACGGUAGCUUACCAGAAAGGGACGGCUAACUACGUG
rnacentral:rRNA from 1 species